UACGUAGGGGGCAAGCGUUGUCCGGAAUCAUUGGGCGUAAAGCGCGCGUAGGCGGCCCGGUAAGUCCGUUGUGAAAGUCAAAGGCUCAACCUUUGAACGCCGAUGGAUACUGCCGGGCUAGAGUCCGGAAGAGGCGAGUGGAAUUCCUGGUGUAGCGGUGGAAUGCGCAGAUAUCAGGAGGAACACCGGUGGCGAAGGCGGCUCUCUGGGACGGUACUGACGCUGAGACGCGAAAGCGUGGGAGCGAACAGG
rnacentral:rRNA from 1 species